AUUCGGCUUAGAGUUUGAUCCUGGCUCAGGAUGAACGCUGGCGGCGUGCUUAACACAUGCAAGUCGAACGGGGGUGUUAUGUGAGCGGAACCAGCUUGCUGGAGACAAUCUUUUAACAUUCUAGUGGCGGACGGGUGAGUAACGCGUGGGUAACCUGCCGUAUACCGGGGGAUAACACCUGGAAACAGGUGCUAAUACCGCAUAAGCGCACAGCGCCGCAUGGCGCGGUGUGAAAAACUCCGGUGGUAUACGAUGGACCCGCGUCUGAUUAGCUAGUUGGCAGGAUAAAAGCCUACCAAGGCGACGAUCAGUAGCCGGCCUGAGAGGGUGGACGGCCACAUUGGGACUGAGACACGGCCCAAACUCCUACGGGAGGCAGCAGUGGGGAAUAUUGCACAAUGGGGGAAACCCUGAUGCAGCGACGCCGCGUGAGUGAAGAAGUAUUUCGGUAUGUAAAGCUCUGUCAGCAGGGAAGAAAAUGACGGUACCUGACCAAGAAGCCCCGGCUAACUACGUGCCAGCAGCCGCGGUAAUACGUAGGGGGCAAGCGUUAUCCGGAUUUACUGGGUGUAAAGGGAGCGUAGACGGCACUGCAAGUCUGAAGUGAAAGCCCGGGGCCCAACCCCGGGACUGCUUUGGAAACUGCAGGGCUGGAGUGCAGGAGAGGUAAGUGGAAUUCCUAGUGUAGCGGUGAAAUGCGUAGAUAUUAGGAGGAACACCAGUGGCGAGGGCGGCUUACUGGACUGUAACUGACGUUGAGGCUCGAAAGCGUGGGGAGCAAACAGGAUUAAGCCGAUUC
rnacentral:rRNA from 1 species